rnacentral:rRNA from 1 species
GACGAACGCUGGCGGCGUGCUUAAAACAUGCAAGUCGAACGGACUUCUCAUGAAGCUUGCGAUUGAGAAGUUAGUGGCGGGCGGGUGAGUAACGCGUGGGCAACCUGCCCCUGAGCCCGGGAUAACAGUUCGAAAGGACUGCUAAGACCGGAUAUACUUGCGGGGAAGCAUUUCACUGCAAGGAAAGGGAACGCUCAGGGAUGGGCCCGCGUCCCAUUAGCUAGUUGGUGAGGUAACGGCCCACCAAGGCGACGAUGGGUAGCCGGCCUGAGAGGGUGAACGGCCACACUGGGACUGAGACACGGCCCAGACUCCUACGGGAGGCAGCAGUUGGGAAUCUUCGGCAAUGGGCGCAAGCCUGACCGAGCAACGCCGCGUGAGUGAUGAAGGUUUUCGGAUUGUAAAGCUCUGUCUUCCGGGACGAUAAUGACGGUACCGGAGGAGGAAGCCACGGCUAACUACGUG